rnacentral:rRNA from 1 species
GUAAUGUCUGGGAAACUGCCUGAUGGAGGCUUGAAACUACUGGAAACGGUAGCUAAUACCGCAUAACGUCGCAAGACCAAAGAGGGGGACCUUCGGGCCUCUUGCCAUCAGAUGUGCCCAGAUGGGAUUAGCUAGUAGGUGGGGUAACGGCUCACCUAGGCGACGAUCCCUAGCUGGUCUGAGAGGAUGACCAGCCACACUGGAACUGAGACACGGUCCAGACUCCUACGGGAGGCAGCAGUGGGGAAUAUUGCACAAUGGGCGCAAGCCUGAUGCAGCCAUGCCGCGUGUAUGAAGAAGGCCUUCGGGUUGUAAAGUACUUUCAGCGGGGAGGAAGGUGAUGAGGUUAAUAACCUCGUCAAUUGACGUUACCCGCAGAAGAAGCACCGGCUAACUCCGUGCCAGCAGCCGCGGUAAUACGGAGGGUGCAAGCGUUAAUCGGAAUUACUGGGCGUAAAGCGCACGCAGGCGGUCUGUCAAGUCGGAUGUGAAAUCCCCGGGCUCAACCUGGGAACUGCAUUCGAAACUGGCAGGCUAGAGUCUUGUAGAGGGGGGUAGAAUUCCAGGUGUAGCGGUGAAAUGCGUAGAGAUCUGGAGGAAUACCGGUGGCGAAGGCGGCCCCCUGGACAAAGACUGACGCUCAGGUGCGAAAGCGUGGGGAGCAAACAGGAU